rnacentral:lncRNA from 1 species
GUUUCUCUCAACUGAUCAACACACUUGUUUUUUUAUUUUGUUUUUUUUUAUAAUUGUAUUGAUGGGAAAUUAAACCGUCCCUUCCAUUUACCACUCUUGACAACAAAUAAUGUUGACCUUUGAUCUAUAAAUAUAAAGACAAAAAAAUAUUUAUUUUCCGAAUUUCCAUCCUAGAUAGCCAGGUGCAAUCUGAUAUUCACGAUGUCUGAAAUUCUCGCUUCCGUAUUUUUUUUUAAUACUCCUUAUCCUCCAUUUGCGUUUUAGGGUUUUUACUCGACUCAUUACUCUUUUUGUCUUGCCCGGUGUUUUAUAAAGUAUUUAUCAAUCUGAAUCUCGAUACAAAAUCAUAUAAAAUGACACUUCCGGUACAUGAUGGAUAAAACCUAAUCGACCAUCCCGUGUCAAUGGACAAAACCAAUGCAAUACUCGGGUUCGCAUACUUAUUUUUAUUUAUUUUGUUAAUCUAUCUAUUUUCGGUAUUAUGUAAUAUUUAUCGUCAUGAACCAUUGGUUUCUUUUACAUAAAUU